rnacentral:rRNA from 1 species
UAAGGUGGUUAUAGCGACGGGGCUCACCUCUUACCUUUCCGAACAGAGAAGUUAAGCCCGUUUGCGCCGAUGGUACUGCUAUCCAGUGGGAGAGUAGGUCGCCGCCUUCC